GAUGAGGCGCGUGCAACGGUUUGGCUGUGAACCGAUUCUGCUCAACAUCAUCA
rnacentral:tRNA from 1 species